CAAAACCUUAUCAACAAGAGACAUCGAAGACAUGGUUGCCUGAUCAGAAAGAAGACACCUUGCUGCCCAUCAUAUUUUGAGUGGUGUUGACUGCAGAAUGAAUUAUACAACAAGAGUUGUGAUGUCGUCCUCUUCUUGAGUAGGUUUGCCCAUGGAUCUCACUGAGGAGGAGACAGUACCUCUAGUGGAUAGGGAGAGAGGGGGCAGCCAAAGAUCCGGUUCUGGCUCUGGUUUACAAGUCCAUCUCUACUUCCUCCCUGCAACAAAGGCGGGGACAACGUUCAACAUAUCGUCUGGCCACAUCUCUGCUGAAAGCGUCUGUGUACUGGCAGCAAAAAAAUGUGGAAUCCUACCAGUGUACCACAGCCUAUUUGCUUUGACGUUUAAUGAUCUCACCUACUUUUACCCCCCAACACAUGUUUUCAACACUGAUGAAAGCAUUAGCGUUCACUACAGAGUCAGGUUUUUCUUUGCCAACUGGUUUGGACAGGGGUCAAAAACAUCAUACCGCUACAGUCUGACAAGAGGCAGAAUCAGUUCAGUGCUUGACUACUGUGUCAUUGAUUAUCUCUUUGCCCAGGUACAUAGAAAACACUUCCAACCUUUGCAAUAAGCCAAAACUCAC